rnacentral:snRNA from 1 species
AUCGCUUCUCGGCCUUUUGGCUAAGAUUAAGUGUAGUAUCUGUUCUUAUCAGUUUAAUAUCUGAGACAUCCUCUAUCCGAGGACAAUAUAUUAAAUGGAUUUUUGGAGCAGGGAGAUGGAAUAGGAGCUUGCUCCGUCCACUCCACGCAGCCACCUGGUAUUGCAGUGCUUCCAGAGAUGGUGCACCCCCU